rnacentral:lncRNA from 1 species
AACCUCAACCCCUGUUGAUAAAGUUGUUUACGGGUGGUUUUUGAGAUUUUAAAAUAAAUACACUUUCCCUCUUGUACAAAUACAAGAGACUCAAGAGCUUCAUCCUCAGGUCGAUUCACAAAACUGUGUCCUCAUGUUGUGUUUUUUGUGAUCUAUGUGUGACUUGGCUGCUGUGACACUGCGAUUUCCCCAAUGGGAUUAAUAAGUACUCCAUCUAUCCAUCCAUGAAAUCUCAAAUCUCCAUGUCAUGUUGCAGGUGUUAGAGAUGUCUAUCACUGCUGUUAAAGACAAGGAAGUGACUGUGCUCACCAUGGCGGCUGACAGUGGGAGCAUGUCCCCACCGCUGUUUCAAAUCCUCAAGACUCUUUGCUUCAGUCCGAUGUAUUUCUCGUUGCUGAAGCAGACCAAUGUAACAACUCUUGGGACUGUACAGAUCCUGGUUGGUCUGUUCAACAUCGGACUUGGGCCAAAACAAGCAUUCACGAUUACCCCUUCUCUGGAGCUGGUGCUGUGUUCAUCAUAUCUGGAAUCAUGUGCCUUCUUGUCUGCUGGUUCCCCACUUAUUGCUUGGUGGGCUUUUCUGUGUUUAUGAACAUCGUUGGAUCUGCCUUCGCCCUUAUUGGCAUUGUGCAGAAUACCACAAACGUGGCAUCCCAAAGCCACAUUUGGCGUGACGAGUUCAGUCCUGAUUAUUUAAAUAAAAACUUCCAAAAUGAAAUUUACAAAUUCCAGCGUUUCUUGACCAUUGACAUUACUCUGAUCAUCCUGGCUGUUCUGCAGCUGGCUGCCUGCUUCAGCUUUGUUAUUCUGGGCACCACGGCCGUGUUCACCAGGAAUAAGGAAGAGGAUGGCAAAGAUGUUGAAGCUCAGCAGCCACAGUUUAAGGAACUUUUCCUGACCAAUCCUGGUGCUUACAAUCAAUUCAACUAAACUCAUGGAAGCAUGACUAUGAAUUAUUGUAACCCCCCCCCACCCUCUAUCUGUUAAUGGGUUGAUUGUUUUUCUAUCUGCCGGUGAAUAUUUUUUCUUGCUUCACUAAAAACAUGUAAAGUAAAGAAAACAUAGUUCAUGGUCACACAUGAUUGAAGCAUGCUGUCUGUACAGGGAGAGAUUAAUGUGAAAUCUCUCAUUUCUGGCAAAAGGUUAUGGAGUAACCAGGAAAAUGUGAUUUGUGAUUAACAUUUGAAAAUCAAUUAAAGUUAUUGGUUUAUUUUA